ACCUUCCUCAGGAAGGUGAUGACGAAGAAGAUGAAAAUCAAAGUAAUCAUGCGGAUGAAGGUGAGAAUCUAAAUGCUGGUCUUGAUAAAGAAGAAGAUGAAUAACAAAGUCAUCGUGUACCAGAAGGAGAAAGCCCAAAUGAUGGUGAUGAUGAAAAAGAAGACAAACAGAAUCCACAAGAGAAGGACAUCAAAGAUAAAUCAUGUGACGAGGGACCAUCAUUCGAUCUUAAGUGUUUUAAUUCACCUGAGGAAAAAAAGUGAAAGAUGGAUAAGAAAAAUAAUAUUGUUA